GGGCAGUUACAGCCUCUGUAAACAUCCUUGACUGGAAGCUGUGAAAUAAUGAUAGUAGCUUUCAGUCGGAUGUUUACAGCUGCUAGCUGC
ensembl:miRNA xtr-mir-30e xtr-mir-30e